rnacentral:rRNA from 1 species
GACGAACGCUGGCGGCGUGCUUAACACAUGCAAGUCGAACGGAAAGGCCCUGCUUUUGUUGGGUGCUCGAGUGGCGAACGGGUGAGUAACACGUGAGUAACCUGCCCUUGACUUUGGGAUAACUUCAGGAAACUGGGGCUAAUACCGGAUAGGAGCUCCUGCUGCAUGGUGGGGGUUGGAAAGUUUCGGCGGUUGGGGAUGGACUCGCGGCUUAUCAGCUUGUUGGUGGGGUAGUGGCUUACCAAGGCUUUGACGGGUAGCCGGCCUGAGAGGGUGACCGGCCACAUUGGGACUGAGAUACGGCCCAGACUCCUACGGGAGGCAGCAGUGGGGAAUAUUGCACAAUGGGCGGAAGCCUGAUGCAGCAACGCCGCGUGCGGGAUGACGGCCUUCGGGUUGUAAACCGCUUUCGACUGUGACGAAGCGUGAGUGACGGUAAUGGGUAAAGAAGCACCGGCUAACUACGUG